rnacentral:misc_RNA from 1 species
AAUGACUGGAAAUCCAAGCGGUUCAAAAGGAGUCAGAAUGAGAUGGUGAAAUAGAGAAGAAGGUACAACCCUGUCACUCCGUUGUCACUUGAAAGUAAAGAAGAGAUACACGCUUUGGAUCAAAAUUUUGUGGGCCUUCUCAUGGAAUCAAAUGUCGAAUGAACUUGCUGCAAAAGAAAAGAGUAAGGAGCUACGGACAUACUUCA